rnacentral:rRNA from 1 species
GGGAGUACGGCCGCAAGGUUAAAACUCAAAUGAAUUGACGGGGGCCCGCACAAGCGGUGGAGCAUGUGGUUUAAUUCGAUGCAACGCGAAGAACCUUACCUACACUUGACAUACAGAGAACUUACCAGAGAUGGUUUGGUGCCUUCGGGAACUCUGAUACAGGUGCUGCAUGGCUGUCGUCAGCUCGUGUUGUGAGAUGUUGGGUUAAGUCCCGCAACGAGCGCAACCCCUAUCCUUAGUUGCUAGCAGGU